GGUUCUUCUGUUCUCAAAUGAGAGGUCCUCUGCUGGGCGCAGGAUGCUAGGCUCUGUGGAGGAUGAAGAGAAGUUUAAAAUUCGACACGCCCCCUUGUGGCGCUUACAUUAAUAAGGUCAAUCGCUAACAUUAAGUACUAUGUCAGGAAAUGUUCUUUACAUAUAUUAACUUAUUUAGAGUUCCCAAGAACCUUAUGAGGUGGAUCGUUUUUACAGCGUGGGAUAUCAUUUGUUCAGAUGAAGAAUCGAAGCUCCAAAGAUUACGUUAUAAGCCAGUGACAGAGCUGAAAGAAGGUCAGAUCCCUUGAUCACAUGCUCCAAAAUUCAUCAUUCUACACAGCAGGCUGAAAGCUGAAGGUUUGUAACAGGCACAGCACGCUGCAGUUGACAAAGGCCUUCAGAAUCAACAGUUGGCCGGUUUCUGCAGCCGCAUGAAUAGGGCAUUUAGAGACAUCUGCGUGAAGAGCUUCCUGGCACCAUGCUCGAUAGGGGUGCACACC